AGAGUUUGAUUCUGGCUCAGAUUGAACGCUGGCGGAAUGCUUUACACAUGCAAGUCGAACGGCAGCACGGGAGCUUGCUCCUGGUGGCGAGUGGCGAACGGGUGAGUAAUGCGUCGGAACGUACCGAGUAAUGGGGGAUAACGCAGCGAAAGCUGUGCUAAUACCGCAUACGCCCUGAGGGGGAAAGUGGGGGAUCGCAAGACCUCACGUUAUUCGAGCGGCCGACGUCUGAUUAGCUAGUUGGUGGGGUAAAGGCUCACCAAGGCGACGAUCAGUAGCGGGUCUGAGAGGAUGAUCCGUCACACUGGAACUGAGACACGGUCCAGACUCCUACGGGAGGCAGCAGUGGGGAAUUUUGGACAAUGGGGGCAACCCUGAUCCAGCCAUUCCGCGUGAGUGAAGAAGGCCUUCGGGUUGUAAAGCUCUUUCAGCCGGAACGAAACGGUACGCACUAAUAUUGUGUGCUAAUGACGGUACCGGCAGAAGAAGCACCGGCUAACUACGUGCCAGCAGCCGCGGUAAUACGUAGGGUGCGAGCGUUAAUCGGAAUUACUGGGCGUAAAGCGUGCGCAGGCGGAUUGUUAAGCAAGAUGUGAAAUCCCCGGGCUUAACCUGGGAAUGGCAUUUUGAACUGGCAGUCUAGAGUGUGUCAGAGGGGGGUGGAAUUCCACGUGUAGCAGUGAAAUGCGUAGAUAUGUGGAGGAACACCAAUGGCGAAGGCAGCCCCCUGGGAUAACACUGACGCUCAUGUACGAAAGCGUGGGUAGCAAACAGGAUUAGAUACCCUGGUAGUCCACGCCCUAAACGAUGUCAACUGGUUGUUGGGGGAGUGAAAUCCCUUAGUAACGAAGCUAACGCGUGAAGUUGACCGCCUGGGGAGUACGGCCGCAAGGUUGAAACUCAAA
rnacentral:rRNA from 1 species